rnacentral:rRNA from 1 species
GGUAGUAACACGUGAGUAACCUGCCUCAGACAUUGGGAUAGCCUCGGGAAACCGGGAUUAAUACCAAAUAAAAUCAUAAUGACACAUGUCAUAACGAUCAAAACUCCGGUGGUCUAAGAUGGACUCGCGUCCCAUUAGCUAGUUGGUAGGGUAAAAGCCUACCAAGGCGACGAUGGGUAGCCGGCCUGAGAGGGUGAACGGCCACAUUGGAACUGAGAAACGGUCCAA